AACUCUAUGGCUUAAUGGAUAAGGUGUUGGUUUAUGAAACCAGAGCUUUUGGGUUUGAUCCCCAUUGUAGUCG
rfam:Ipomoea nil DNA, scaffold: scaffold0114, cultivar: Tokyo-kokei standard.